rnacentral:rRNA from 1 species
CCCUAUGGGGUGCGGCAAGAGCGCUUGUGCCAAUGUUUUGGGGUGCGCGACACCCUCAAAGAGCCCCGUCAUCCUUGGCAAAAAGUCCAUUUGUCCAGCCAAGUAUUCCCCCGCGGAAGUUCGGGUCGCUACAUCCAGGUGCGCUCUUGUAGGUUUUAUAUCCAGGGCUGCCACACUGCGCUUCAAAUGCGCAGCACGGUAGUUAUGCGGCCCGCUCCAGCCCAUUCCUGCCACCGUGGGCAUUCCUUUGGGUAUCAUGUCCAGGCGCAAAAGCACCUGCGGGUAAAAUUCCCCAAAGGGCUUAAAUGUUUCGCCCCACCAAGCCCCAAACCACGGCAAAAUCUGUGGGUUGAUACUUCCUUUCAGUAUGUAGUCGGCAUGGCGGGGGAGC